GAUAUGAAAUAAUCUGUCCUCUUAAGAAGGCCUUUAGAGUUUCCCAGAGUAUUCCUGCAGAAACCUCUGAGGAUGUAUUUGUCUCUAGGAAGAAACUGAUUUGUUUGGAUAUAAAUUCUGUACAAUUCUCGUCUGCUAAUAGAAGCGGGUUAAGACGCCAUCUACGAGGUGAGUGUGUAGGGCAUAGUGACUCCAGCUCCAAGACCAGAGGUGCAUGGUCGGAAAUAACAAUAGCAUUGUACUUGUAAGAUUUAAUCGUAGGCAAGAAAUUAUUAUCUAUAAAGAAAUAAUCUUUUCUUGAGUAGCAAUUAUGUACUGGUGAGUAGAAAGAAUAUGUUCUUGAGUUUUGGUUUAGAAACCUCCAGGGAUCUGAUAAGUUGUGGUCAGUUACAAACUGUGUAAUUAUCUUUGCAGUGUUAGAUGUUGUUUUGUCUUGGUAGAGAGUCCUAUCUAAAAGUGGAUUUAAAACACAAUUAAAGUCCCCAGCCAUUAUAAUUUUAUGAGUGUUCACAUUGGGGAUGGAUGCAAAUACGUUUUGUAUGAAUUCCUUAUCAUCAACAUUAGGUGCAUAAACAUUUAUCAAAAUCAUUUUAUAGUUAAAUAAGUUGCCCAUGACCAUCACAUAUCUCCCUUCUGGAUCAGAUACUACAUCUGAUGCUACAAAUGAGACUGUUCUAUGUAUGAGAAUUCCCACACCUCUAGUUUUCUUUGUAAAGCUAGAAUGGAACUUUUGGCCAGCCCAGUCCUUUUGCAGACGGAACUGAUCUUUGCUUAGUAAGUGGGUCUCCUGUAAAAAUACUAUUUUAGCAUUUAAACCUGUUAGGUGGGAUAGUACUUCCUUUCUCUUUAAUUCAUGAUUCAGGCCUUUAACAUUCCAGCUGGCAAAGUUAACUGUCCCAUCAUGGAGAUAUUGAUUCUGAGUUUUUGAUGUCAUUUUAUAGUCUUAACUGGAAGUGAGACAACUUUAACCUUAACUUCCUAUUUCCCCAAGAGUUAUUGCCAUGUAGCCUAUUGUUACGUUGGUAGUUAUAAUUAUAAGGAUUAAAAGGAUAGAUUAGAUAUAGCCUGCUCUCUUUCUCUCCCCCCCUUAUCCCCCCACCCCCCCAUUUUGCCUCCCCACAUGAGGCUGGACCCCACUUCACAAAGUCUCGGUCCUCUGACAUACCUAGAGACAGAGUACAUCCAAAGCAAAACAAGCCCCCAUGCAGCGGCGUUUUAGGAUUAAAGAGUAGAGAUAUCUAUU